CAACCCUCAGGCACCCUUCGGGGCGCCUGGUGUUGGGGACCGGCCCCGUGCCGCCCCCGAAAUGCAGUGGCGACCUCGCCGCAGCCUCCCCUGCGUAGUAGCACAACCUCGCACCGGAGCGCGGAGACGGUCACGCCGUAAAACGCCCAACUUCCUUUAGAG
rnacentral:misc_RNA from 1 species